rnacentral:sRNA from 1 species
CGCUCUCAAAAGGUUACGAGCUAUGUAU